rnacentral:tRNA from 1 species
GACGGUAUAGCUCAAGUGGUAGAGCACAUGCUUAGCAUGCAUGAGGUCCUGGGUUCAAUCCCCAGUAUCUCCU